rnacentral:rRNA from 1 species
GAUGGACGCUGGCGGCGUGCCUAAUACAUGCAAGUCGAGCGAACAGACGAGGAGCUUGCUCCUCUGACGUUAGCGGCGGACGGGUGAGUAACACGUGGAUAACCUACCUAUAAGACUGGGAUAACUUCGGGAAACCGGAGCUAAUACCGGAUAAUAUAUUGAACCGCAUGGUUCAAUAGUGAAAGACGGUUUUGCUGUCACUUAUAGAUGGAUCCGCGCCGCAUUAGCUAGUUGGUAAGGUAACGGCUUCCCAAGGCAACGAUGCGUAGCCGACCUGAGAGGGUGAUCGGCCACACUGGAACUGAGACACGGUCCAGACUCCUACGGGAGGCAGCAGUAGGGAAUCUUCCGCAAUGGGCGAAAGCUUGACGGAGCAACGCCGCGUGAGUGAUGAAGGUCUUCGGAUCGUAAAACUCUGUUAUUAGGGAAGAACAAAUGUGUAAGUAACUAUGCACGUCUUGACGGUACCUAAUCAGAAAGCCACGGCUAACUACGUG